rnacentral:rRNA from 1 species
GACGAACGCUGGCGGCGGGCUUAACACAUGCAAGUCGAACGGAAAGGUCCUGCUUGUGUGGGAUGCUCGAGUGGCGAACGGGUGAGUAACACGUGAGUAACCUGCCCUUGACUUUGGGAUAACUUCAGGAAACUGGGGCUAAUACCGGAUAGGAGCUCCUGCUGCAUGGUGGGGGUUGGAAAGUUUCGGCGGUUGGGGAUGGGCUCGCGGCUUAUCAGCUUGUUGGUGGGGUAGUGGCUUACCAAGGCUUUGACGGGUAGCCGGCCUGAGAGGGUGACCGGCCACCUUGCGACUGAGCUACGGGCCGGACUCCUACGGGAGGCAGCAGUGGGGAAUAUUGCCCGAUGCGCGGAAGCCUGAUGCAGCAACGCCGCGUGCGGGAUGACGGCCUUCGGGUUGUAAACCGCUUUCGCCUGUGACGAAGCGUGCGUGCCGGUAAUGGGUAAAGAAGCACCGGCUAACUCCGUG